rnacentral:tRNA from 1 species
AAAAAUUUAGUUAAACCAUAACGUUAGCUCGUCAAGCUAGAAUUAUUUAAUUAACCUAAUAGUUUUUA